rnacentral:rRNA from 1 species
UACGUAGGUGGCAAGCGUUGUCCGGAUUUACUGGGCGUAAAGAGCGCGCAGGCGGUCGUUCAAGUCGCGUGUGAAAGCCCCCGGCUCAACUGGGGAGGGUCACGCGAUACUGAUCGACUCGAAGGCAGGAGAGGGAAGUGGAAUUCCCGGUGUAGUGGUGAAAUGCGUAGAUAUCGGAAGGAACACCAGUGGCGAAAGCGGCUUCCUGGUCCAGCACCGACGUCAGCACGAAAGCGUGGGGAGCAAACA